rnacentral:rRNA from 1 species
UACGGGGGGAGCAAGCGUUGUUCGGAUUUACUGGGCGUAAAGGGCGCGUAGGCGGUCAGCACAAGUCAGUUGUGAAAUCUCCGGGCUUAACUCGGAAAGGUCAACUGAUACUGUGCGACUAGAGUGCGGAAGGGGCAACUGGAAUUCUCGGUGCAGCGGUGAAAUGCGUAGAUAUCGAGAGGAACACCUGCGGCGAAGGCGGGUUGCUGGGCUGACACUGACGCUGAGGCGCGAAAGCUAGGGGAGCGAACGGG